AUGAGGAACACACUCUGCCUGCUGCUCUCGCUCAGCCUAAACUGUAUAAAUGGUCAAAGUAUGGAGUCCAUUGAAAGCACAGUUCAGAAGAUGCCUGGAGAUACUUUGAUUCUUUCCUGUCGUGGAUCUGGAUUCAGCUUUGACUGCUGUAGCAUGCACUGGAUCAGACAGCAGGAUGGAAAACCACUCGUGUGGAUGGGACGUGUUCAUCCUAAUGGUGUUCACUGUGUUGAACUGACUCAGCCUGCAUCCAGUGUUGUCAGGCCUGGUGAGGCUUUGACUCUGUCCUGUAAGUCUGGAUAUUCACUGACUGACAGCAGCUACUGCUCUCACUGGAUACGACAGUCUGCUGGAAAACCUCUGGAAUGGAUUGGAUGGAUUUGUAGUAGUGGUAGCACACAAAUCAGUGAAAAACUGAAAAGCACAUUUCAAAUUACCAGAGACACAUCCAGCAACACAUUGACUCUACAAGGACAGAAUAUGAGGACUGAAGACACAGCUGUGUAUUACUGUGCCAGACAGUCACUGUGAUGUAAACCACAAGCACUUCUGUUCAAAAACAUCUCAAAUAAUGUUAACUGAAUGAAUACAAUGUUGACAGGGUAUAGCUAGCUAAUUUUACAUUUAAGAGGUGGUAGCACAGAGCAACAAAUACAGCAAAGACACUGUUGCA